CACAAAUUAAAUCAAUCAAGCACAAACACUGAUCAGCAAAACAUUGUUUGACAGGGUGAAUCAGAAUCAGAAAGGGUUUUAUUGUCAAAUGUUGAGCAGGUUUACAACAUUAGGAAAUUGCUGUGGUACUUAUUGCAAAACAUACUGUGAGACAAACGCUUAAAUAAACAUAAAAAUUUAAAUUAAAAGUGCUAAGCAGAUUGAUAUAUACAUGUAUGCAGGUGAUGAUCAGUGCAAAAAUGGAACAGAUGCACAGAACACAGUAUAGUGUCAUGUGUUUGUGGUGGGAACAGUCAUAUGGUUAUUGUUCAUGAGUCCAACAGCAGAGGGGAAGAAACUGUUCUUCUGCCUGAGGGGAGCAGGUCGAACAAGCUGUGUCCAGGAUGAGAAGGGUCAGCUGUGAUCCGAGUUGCACGCCCCAGUGUCCUGGAGGUGUACAGGUGCUGCAGAGAUGGGAGUCUGCAGCCAAUCACCAUCUCAGCAGAGCACACAACACGCUGCAGUCUGUUUGUCCCUGAUGGUGGCUCCAUCAUACCACACGGUAAUGGAGGAGAUGAGGAUGGACUCAAUGAUUGCAGUGUUGUUGGCAGGUUGAAUUUCUUCAGCUGCCUCAGCAAGUACAUCCUCUGCUGGGCCUUAUGACGGAGGUGAUGGUGGGCUCCCACUUGAGGACCUGGGUGUUGGUGGUACCAAGGAAGCGGAAUGAGGCGAACAACCUUAGUCACAAAUUCAACUAACUACACUAAAAGAACCGUUGACGGGCUGUAUUUAAGUUUUGAAAUUUACCCUCUUACUUUGGUUAUACUUUUAAAAUCAAGUGAAUAAAAAGAAAAAUCAGUAAGAAAUAGAAAAAAGACAUUUCUCAAUAGAUAUUGGAUCUGGAAUGAUGAGAGGACAAGGAGUGGGAGGGGGUCACUAUUAUGAUACAGGGAUUAUAAUAAGCUAAAAUGAAUCCUUUGCCAUUGCAGUACAGGACUGGAGCAAAUUUUCAGCCUGUGUAACUGAAAGAAUUUAAAAUUCACAUUUACUGCCCAGCUAGCUUAAAAUUCCAGUGCAAUUACUCCAGAAGAAAAAACAUCAUUAUUUCCAAAAACAGCAGCUAUGCUGAUUACAGUUUGGGGAAACUUGCAGACUAAACUGACGUCGCUGAUUUGUCUUCACAGGGAUCCAAACAAGACUGGUUAAAGGAAAUCCUGACCAAGAUUGCAGAAGUGCUAAAACUCCAAGAUAUUCCUGCCAUACAGAUGCAAAUCGUUUCACUGGGAUCUGCUUAUCCCGACCUCAGUGAAAAACAUGUUUCGGCUCUGCUCAAACUCAAGACAAACCUCUCCAAAGCCGACAGGAAAAUCGUCAAAACCACUCUGUCAGACACACUGAAAGAGAGCCGUGCUGAUCCUGGAAUCCGGAAGUUUUUCUCCAAAAUUAAAGUGAGAUGAGCCGCACAUUUGCUUCUUAGAGUAUCACUGACUGAGAGUUUGGUUGCAGAGCAGCAAUAUUAUCGUGUAUUAUAUUGUGUUACAGUCUAUCUCUGUAAAGACAUACAGAGUGAAUGCCAGGGAAAAACCUUCAGAUGCUACUUAGACUGAAAUCCCUAUUAUACGCAGACUCGGUGAUGGUGAAUGCUUGCUGUAGUUACUGUAUGUUAUUGUAUACAUAAGCUAGAUUUUACAUUCAUGCUGGCAAUUUUUGUGCAUUUCAUAGAAACUGUGAAUAAGUAUGCAAGAGUCUGUUUUUACACACUUACAAACAGGUCAGUGCCGUUCUAUUAUAUGUCGUUUUGUUUAAAAACUACAAUGAUAUUAAAGUCUAGUUUUUUCAUAAGUUGUAUUUUAUGCUAUAUUGUAUUACAGAGAAUUAUACAUGUCUCAUGUACAUAAAAAGAUGUAAGUUGAGUUUUUUUUAAUAAAUGUGCAAAAACCAGCUCAA
ensembl:lncRNA